GAGGGCAAGUCUGGUGCCAGCAGCCGCGGUAAUUCCAGCUCCAAUAGCGUAUAUUAAAGUUGUUGCAGUUAAAAAGCUCGUAGUUGGAUUUCUGUUAAUAAUUUAUAUAUAAUAUUUWACAUAUUUAUAUAAUAUUAACAUAAUUCAUAUUACUAUUUAUAGUAUAUGAAACUUUACUUUGAGAAAAUUAGAGUGCUUAAAGCAGGCUUUUGCCUUGAAUACUAGAGCAUGGAAUAAUAUUAAAGAUUUUUAUCUUUCUUAUUGGUUCUAAGAUAGAAAUAAUGAUUAAUAGGGACAGUUGGGGGCAUUUGUAUUUAACAGUUAGAGGUGAAAUUCUUAGAUUUGUUAAAGACAAACUAAUGCGAAAGCAUUUGCCAAGGAUGUUUUCAUUAAUCAAGAACGAAAGUUAGGGGAUCGAAGACGAUCAGAUACCGUCGUAGUCUUAACCAUAAACUAUGCCAACUAGAGAUUGGAGGUUGUUCCUUACUC
rnacentral:rRNA from 1 species